AGAUUGAACGCUGGCGGCAUGCUUUACACAUGCAAGUCGAACGGUAACAGGCCGCAAGGUGCUGACGAGUGGCGAACGGGUGAGUAAUGUAUCGGAACGUGCCCGGUCGUGGGGGAUAACGCAGCGAAAGCUGCGCUAAUACCGCAUACGAUCUAUGGAUGAAAGCGGGGGACCGUAAGGCCUCGCGCGAUUGGAGCGGCCGAUAUCAGAUUAGGUAGUUGGUGGGUAAAGGCUCACCAAGCCAACGAUCUGUAGCUGGUCUGAGAGGACGACCAGCCACACUGGGACUGAGACACGGCCCAGACUCCUACGGGAGGCAGCAGUGGGGAAUUUUGGACAAUGGGCGCAAGCCUGAUCCAGCAAUGCCGCGUGCAGGAAGAAGGCCUUCGGUUGUAACUGCUUUGUACGGAACGAACGGUCCUGGUUAAUACCUGGGCUAAGUGAACGGUACCGUAAGAAUAAGCGAACCGGCUAACUACGUGCCUAGCAGCCG
rnacentral:rRNA from 1 species